rnacentral:rRNA from 1 species
UGCCAGCCGCCGCGGUAAAACGUAGGGGGCGAGCGUUAUCCGGAAUUAUUGGGCGUAAAGCGCAUGUAGGCGGUGUGGCAAGUUGGUUGUGAAAGCUCUCGGCUUAACCGAGAGAGGUCAAUCAAAACUGCCAGACUUGAGUGAGGUAGAGGCGCACGGAAUUCCCGGUGUAGUGGUGGAAUGCGUAGAGAUCGGGAGGAACAUCAGUGGCGAAGGCGGUGCGCUGGGCCUUAACUGACGCUGAGAUGCGAAAGCGUGGGGAGCAAACAGGAUUAGAUA